CCCAGACUCCUACGGGAGGCAGCAGUAGGGAAUAUUGCUCAAUGGGGGAAACCCUGAUGCAGCGACGCCGCGUGGGUGAAGGAGUAUUUCGGUAUGUAAAGCCCUAUCGGCAGGGAAGAAGCAAGACGGUACCUGACUAAGAAGCCCCGGCUAACUACGUGCCAGCAGCCGCGGUAAUACGUAGGGGGCGAGCGUUAUCCGGAUUCACUGGGUGUAAAGGGAGCGUAGACGGCCAUGCAAGCCAGGGGUGAAAGCCCGGGGCCCAACCCCGGGACUGCCCUUGGAACUGUGCGGCUAGAGUGCGGGAGGGGCAGGCGGAAUUCCUGGUGUAGCGGUGAAAUGCGUAGAUAUCAGGAGGAACACCGGCGGCGAAGGCGGCCUGCUGGACCGCGACUGACGUUGAGGCUCGAAAGCGUGGGGAGCGAACAGGAUUAGAUACCCUAGUA
rnacentral:rRNA from 1 species